AUUGAACGCUGGCGGCAUGCUUUACACAUGCAAGUCGAACGGUAACAGGUUAAGCUGACGAGUAGCGAACGGGCGAGUAAUGCAUCGGAACGUGCCCGGUCGUGGGGGAUAACGCAGCGAAAGCUGCGCUAAUACCGCAUACGAUCUGAGGAUGAAAGCGGGGGACCGUAAGGCCUCGCGCGAUCGGAGCGGCCGAUGUCAGAUUAGGUAGUUGGUGGGGGAAAGGCCCACCAAGCAGACGAUCUGUAGCUGGCCUGAGAGGACGACCAGCCACACUGGGACUGAGACACGGCCCAGACUCCUACGGGAGGCAGCAGUGGGGAAUUUUGGACAAUGGGCGAAAGCCUGAUCCAGCAAUGCCGCGUGCAGGAAGAAGGCCUUCGGGUUGUAAACUGCUUUUGUACGGAGCGAAAAGGUCCUUUCUAAUACAAGGGGCUCAUGACGGUACCGUAAGAAUAAGCACCGGCUAACUACGUGCCAGCAGCCGCCGUAACAC
rnacentral:rRNA from 1 species